rnacentral:rRNA from 1 species
AUGUUCCUUGGUGCAUCAGCAGUGGUUUUUCCAAAUAUUUCUGAGUCGGCGACUCUUGAAUCACUGGCCAUCAGGGAGGCGUUGGCCAUAGCAGAUGAUUUGUACAAGAGGGGCAUUCAAGUGGCGUCGGAUUGCAAAGUGGUAGUGGACGAUAUACGACAGAAGAACCCAACGCUCUACGGGGCGAUCAUACAUGAAAUCAUACACUGGAAAACUCCUUUUACUUUAUGUAAUAUUAUUCAUGAAUUUAGGAGCUCGAAUGUCGAGGCUCACAAACUCGCAAAACACGCAUUAUUCCUAGGGGCUGGCCGCCAUGUUUGGUUAGGUCAGCCCAAUGGUCUUCAU